CUCUAAAAAAAAACUUAAUCACAUUACUACUUCCAGAAACUAGGCUAAGGCUUUACUUCUCAGCCAAAAUAUCAUUUAUUUAGCCAACCCAGAACCACCUUCCUGGGGAGAGUCCAGACAGGAGCUUCCUUUGCACCUAAUUUAAAGAACACCUUUGUCUUUAAACACUUUUCUUUCCUCUCUUUUAAUCUAUACCAAGAGUUGGCAAACUAUGGCCAUUUGACUUAAACUACAUUUUUAUAAAUAGUUUUACUGGAACACAGCCAUGCCAAGUAUUUACAUACUAUCUAUGGCUGCUUUGGUAUUAAAACAGUAGAGUGGGUCACUGCAACAAAGAUGGUAAGCCUAAAAUUUAUUAUCUGGCCCUUUACAGAAAAUUUGCCAACUCUGAUCUAUGCCAUAAAAUACAAACUUGCAGUCAGUGCUUGCUAUUUUUUCAUGUAUGUUGGCCUUAAUCCUUGAUCUACCUGCCCCUCCCUGACAGAACUGCACUAGUGUGAUACCCAUUAGCUACCGUUACUAUUUAAUUAAAAUUUAAAAGUCUGGUUCCUUAGUUACACUAGCCAUAGUCAAUCUGAAUAUUAAAUAGAUCAUUUCUAUUACUGCAUUAGGUUCUGCUGGACAGUGCUGAACUAGAAGCACUCUGAGGCAGGAACUGUCUGUCUUGCUCACUGCUAAUCUUAAAGUGAAGAAAGUAACAAGACCUUUUCGCCUUCUGAGUUGCUUUCAAAAACAUAUGUGCUCAGAGACUCUCCACCUGUGGAUUCAGGCAUGCGGACCACAAAGCCAACCAGUCUCUUGUUUUCUUGAUGAGCAGCAAACUGGGUGACACUGGUAAGUUCAAAC